AGGGGUGGCUUCCACCUUCAGGGAACAGGCGCCAGCACUAGGCUACUAUAUCAACAGACAUAGGAUUCUGGAUAGGUACUCGGAGACUCCAGGUGAGGAGACCUAGGAAACAAGGCAGGUAUGAGGGGUCAGAAAUGUUUCAGAACCCUGACUGCUAACGUUGUUAACGAGAAACCAAGCAGAGCUAGUUCAAUGGGAGUAUCGGUCGUCAAUAGGAUACGCAAAGCUUUCUUACUGGGGCGGCAUGGUUCUGCUCACUUGGCUCAGAUGCCCAGGAGGCAGGGUCCACUGCUGGGAGGAUGAUAUGCGUUAGGGAUGAAUCACAUUGAUCUUACAGAGGAGAUGGAACUGUAGUGACCGUAGAUAGACACGCCACGUCCAGACCGGAGAGAGAGCACGCCAAUGCUGUUCUGCCGCAGGCAGCAGUUUUCAAAGCAUUAUAGAGUGAAAUAGCGCCCUCUGUAGAAAUCGGUGGAUACGUGGUGUUUAGGUAUUAUCCUUCGGGAGAGUGUAGAGACAAAUACUAAAAGCAACAGCGAAAAGCUUGAAGCUAAAAUCCAGGUGUCUCGAGCUACCCAGCUCAGAAACUGCUAUUUUAGUCACCUGAAGAUGACUCUGACCUUACAAAUUCGCGCGCGCGUGUGUGUAUGUGUGUGUGUGCUCGCGUGCACGUGUGCAAGAGAGAGAGAGGGGGAGAGGGAGAGGGAGAGGGAGAGGGAGAGAGAGAGAGAGAGAGGGAGAGGGAGAGGGGGAGAGAGAGAUGCAUGUAUAGGUAUUUGGGUAUGUGCAUACGUGUGUGUGCUGUGUGUUUGUGCGUGCAUGUGUGUGUGUGAAAGAGAUGCAUGUAUAGGUAUUUCUGUAUGUGCAUACAUGUGUGUACGUGUGUGUUGAAUUCCAGAGGUUGGUUUCUUGGGAUCUUCUUCUAUCCACCUAAUUAUUACUUUUAAUGAUUUAUUUUAUUUUCAAUAUUUUCUAUUUCAAUUUUAACAAAAUAACUUUAAUUUUUCAGGUGUGCAUGUGUGUAUGUGUGUGUGUGUGUGUAAAUUCAAGUGUACCCUUGGAGGCUAGAGGUGUCAAAUUCCCUGGAACUGUUGUCAUAGUCAGUGAUGAACCACCUGUCGUGAAUACCUGGGAAUCCAACUCAGAUCUGGAAGAGCUGUACGUGUUCUAAAUAGCGGAAUCAUCUCUCCAAACCUAUUGUUAUUGUGAGACAGGGUUUCUCAUUAGACCGGGAACUCCCUGGUUUAGCUACAGUAGCUAAAGUGCCAGCUUCCGGGAUCUGCUGACUACUUUCCCAGCACUGAGGUUAAGGGCGUGCGCUUUCCACGGGGUUAAAGGAAAGAAAAUAAACUGCCAAAAGGAGGUAGGGAUGGACUUGUCGAGGGACAGCCAUGUCUCAGCUCAGCAGUUGUUUACUACUGGAAAAUCAGGUCACUCCCAAUCUUCUCUGCUCUAAAUAUCUUUCAGAAUAUGUAUAAUUUUGCCCUUAUGGGAAAAAUACCUUGCUGUAUAUCUUUUCUAAGUGGAGUUUUGCGUUUAAGUGUGACAACAGCUUUCUAAAUGUUCAUACUCACUGCCAAAUGAUCUACCUAGUUACACCCUGUCUAGGUGGAGAGGCCUGCAUACCUAUUUUGUUUGUGGUGGCUUCAGAUGGAACCCCUGUGCCUUGCACACGCCAGGCAACCUCUGUACCACUGAGCUACACCCCUAACCCUUUCGAAUAUAUUUGAGACCGGGUCUUGACUAAGUUGCUCAGGUUAAUCGCCAACUUGCAAUCAUCCCGUCUCAGCCUCUGGUAUACCACAGCACUCAUCUUACACUAUUUGAAAAAUUAUUAAUGGUGAUAAUAGUUUAUUGAAAUUCUUUUUCAGUUUUAGUCAUGGCUUUAUUUUUUAAAGAAAGCAAUUGCCAAAACUUCUGUAUUUAAACCCUGUUUUUUCCUUCCUUCUUUAAGAAAUUUCUUGGCUCUCACUUUUCAAGUUUAAAAAAUAUCCGAUUUGUGCUCUAGUUAGAAUUCUGUGCUACAAAAAAAAAACCCGAUGAGACAACAUGUUUAUACUCUCAUAGUAGGUAUUUCCAUCUAGAAACAUGCUCAUUUCAAUAAAAUCUUUUAAUCAUUUC
rnacentral:lncRNA from 1 species